GUAGGAGUGACUCUCGAAACAUGGAAGACAAAUAUUAAAUGUUUAUCCGUCACAUGAACCCACCACGAGGGCAACGAAUCAUGUAAAAACACUACAAUCAUCUAGCGUUGCGGUUUAUGGGACGGCCUCUUUAGUUUCAGGCUAAAAAUAAAUUAUGAAGAAGGAUGUUUGUCGUUUAUGUAUAUAUGCCAAGGCCACAAUCAAAGGUGGGGUUGAAAUUAUGUACAAAAAGGAUGCUAUCGUUCCUAAAAAUGUUCCGCAUGCAUUCUGGGAAAGAGCUAAAGUUUGAUCUUUUAUAUUUUUUUAUUUUGUUUGAUUGUUUCAUAUAUAUAGGCUUUUGCUCAUCGCCACUUUUAUAUACAGAUACGAUGCAGCGAACGAGAUAGCUUCUCCAUAUUCAGUCUUGUUAGUUCUUGUAUCUGCUACUAUAUUCUUAGCUUGUUUAUUUAUUAUUAUUAUUGCUACAGAUCAUAAAUUUGAUAUGCAUGUAAGUGCUAUAGGACAUGUUCAUUGAAUCGGGCGAACUGGGCGAGCAUAUAACAUAGGUCAAUAUGUUUCAAUCAUCAUAUAUACAGGAUAGCUUGCUUGGCUGAGAUGACCAGCACCACGUGAACCCCCCGUCGCAUCCCUUUGUCUAAAGAUUUGUACUCUUGUCCAACACGAUUUAUUCUUUUGCUUGACAACAGUUGCUCUCUCUGGCACAAGCUGGAUAUGACAUAACUGCAGAUUUACUUAGAACUACAGAUGAUGUUGAGCUUUUGGAACCUCCAGUGAUGGAAGGUUUGGAUUUGCUUUUGGCGAAGCAUAAUGGUUCAAGAAACAAUGGUGUCCCUGAAACAAACGGUGUUUUGGCAGGGCAGCCCGUGCCAGCAAAGAGUCUAUUUGGUUGAAGGUGGUGAUCAUUGUGGUCUGAUUAAAGAAGGAUAUGAUGGCUAAUUCUUAGUGGAACGUAUAUUUGAUUGAAAAAUAUGUGAUUUUUAAGCUCCAGCCUUCAUCUUCAUUGACCAACGACGGCUUCGACAAAGCACCACCGUAACCACCGGACACACCACCGUCAUGGUCCACAACCCCAUCCCCACCCAUCUUCUCAUCUUCUCCGGCGACACUCCUCUGUCCGUUCCUUUCGUCUCCGGCUAAAACACCACCUCCAUCCCAUUGUUCUCUGGCGAAGCACUCCCCUUCCCUCCUUUUUUACGGCCAACCAAUUCUUUUGGCGCCCAUUAAAUCACUUCACUGCCACCAGGUGGUGGACUUCAACCGGCAAGAUAACAUCCAUCGGAUUUGCAGGUCCCUUAAUUGCCAUCGCAGGUCACUUUACAACAUUCGUGGAUUUGGAGGUCUUUUCAUUGCCAUUGGAUUUGCAACGUCCACCGAACAAAGUACAUCUUGAUUGGUUUUACUGGGUUUUGGCAUGUUUGAGCUAGUUCAGUUUGGUUUUGUUUUGUCUAUAAUUGUUAUAUUAUCCAUCAUAUCUAUAAACAAUUUUACAAAAUCAAAUU